UACGUAGGGUGCAAGCGUUGUCCGGAAUUAUUGGGCGUAAAGGGUGUGUAGGCGGUUGGUUAAGUUUGGUGUGAAAUCUCCCGGCUCAACUGGGAGGGUGCGCCGAAUACUGAAUGACUAGAGUGCGGGAGAGGAAAGUGGAAUUCCUGGUGUAGCGGUGAAAUGCGUAGAUAUCAGGAGGAACACCGGUGGUGUAGACGGCUUUCUGGACCGUAACUGACGCUGAGACACGAAAGCGUGGGUAGCGAACAGG
rnacentral:rRNA from 1 species